rnacentral:rRNA from 1 species
AGUAAAGUGGCGUACGGGUGAGUAACACGUGGAUCAUCUACCUCUUAGUGGGGAAUAACUUUGGGAAACCGAAGCUAAUACCGCAUAAGCCUGGAAAGGGAAAGCAGCAAUGCGCUGAGAGAGGAGUCCGCGGCCGAUUAGCUAGUUGGCAGGGUAAAAGCCUACCAAGGCAUUGAUCGGUAGCCGGCCUGAGAGGGCACACGGCCACACUGGCACCGAAACACGGGCCAG